UAAGGCACUGUUGAAACUGCAAUGAAC
rnacentral:piRNA from 1 species